rnacentral:rRNA from 1 species
GCUCAGGAUGAACGCUAGCUACAGGCUUAACACAUGCAAGUCGAGGGGUAGCAGGGUAGCAAUACCGCUGACGACCGGCGCACGGGUGAGUAACACGUAUCCAACCUACCGUUUACUCGGGGAUAGCCUUUCGAAAGAAAGAUUAAUACCCGAUAGUAUAAAGAGUUCGCAUGUUCUCUUUAUUAAAGGAUUCCGGUAAAUGAUGGGGAUGCGUUCCAUUAGAUUGUUGGCGGGGUAACGGCCCACCAAGUCUUCGAUGGAUAGGGGUUCUGAGAGGAAGGUCCCCCACAUUGGAACUGAGACACGGUCCAAACUCCUACGGGAGGCAGCAGUGAGGAAUAUUGGUCAAUGGGCGCUAGCCUGAACCAGCCAAG